rnacentral:rRNA from 1 species
GAUGAACGCUGGCGGCGUGCCUAAUACAUGCAAGUCGAGCGAACGGACGAGAAGCUUGCUUCUCUGAUGUUAGCGGCGGACGGGUGAGUAACACGUGGAUAACCUACCUAUAAGACUGGGAUAACUUCGGGAAACCGGAGCUAAUACCGGAUAAUAUUUUGAACCGCAUGGUUCAAAAGUGAAAGACGGUCUUGCUGUCACUUAUAGAUGGAUCCGCGCUGCAUUAGCUAGUUGGUAAGGUAACGGCUUACCAAGGCAACGAUGCAUAGCCGACCUGAGAGGGUGAUCGGCCACACUGGAACUGAGACACGGUCCAGACUCCUACGGGAGGCAGAAGUAGGGAAUCUUCCGAAAUGGGCGAAAGCCUGACGGAGCAACGCCGCGUGAGUGAUGAAGGUCUUCGGAUCGUAAAACUCUGUUAUUAGGGAAGAACAUAUGUGUAAGUAACUGUGCACAUCGUGACGGUACCUAAUCAGAAAGCCACGGCUAACUACGUG